AUUUAUCGUCUGCACGUUACGACGCCGUUACUGAGACCUUGUUGGGAGAAGAAGCGGUGCAAAAAAUUUUAGGUUUAAGGUUGUUUCAGAGUUAAGAAAAACAACCAAAUAGAAACUUAAAAUGGAUAAAACUGAUUUCGAAAAAACCCGCUACGAGUUCCUGGAAUCCAUCUCACAAGCUCUUGACUUUGGGGAACAACCCAUAAUAAAGGCAUUGCUUGUAACCAACAACACAUAUCUGAUUGGAGAAGCAGAUAAAAAAGCUAUCUGGGAUCAGGCUUUUCGAGAUAAAUUUUUGAAUGAUUCUCCAUUUUUUUCCAUACCAUUGUUUGAAAAACUUUUGCAGCUGAGCUUAGAUUGUGCUGUAGCUCUGAUAUGUUCUCCAACACUGCCUGUGAUCCUUCUCACAGAUGCCUUUGAUAUCCUAUCUCUGGGAAAAUGUGAAGAAAUCUUUUACAUGGUUGAAAUGAAAGUGUCAACUUGGAAGCAAGAGCUAUUCUUCAAUCAAUGUAAAAACACCUUACUGCGUCUUUGCAAUGAUUUGCUGAGGCGCCUAUCCCGUAGCCAAAAUACAGUUUUCUGUGGCCGAAUUCUUCUGUUCUUAGCAAAAUUUUUCCCUUUCUCUGAGCGGUCUGGACUCAACGUAGUCAGCGAAUUUAAUUUAGACAAUCUAACGACAUUUGGAGGUAAAGAGGAUCUUUCUGAUGGAUCCGAUAUUACAGAAAAAGAAAAAGAUGCAAUGGAAGUAGAGGAGAGUUUGGGCUCUGACUAUAAUCUGUACAAAAAAUUUUGGUCUCUACAAGACUUCUUCCGAAAUCCCAAUCAGUGUUAUACGAAAAUCCCUUGGAAAACGUUCUGCCUGCACACCAAUGACGUUUUGUCAGCCUUUUCUACAAUCAAAUUGGAUGAACGGCGGAAUCGUUCCAAAUGGGAUGAGGCAGAUGUGUCGGCAGAUGUCGGUAUAGAUGAAACCAGCACAAAUGCUGGGAACGUCCAGCAAUAUUUCGCCAAAUAUUUGACGAGUCAGAAUCUUUUGGAGCUUCAGCUGGGCGACUCCAACUUCAGACGCUAUAUUCUGCUCCAGUUCCUGAUUAUUUUCCAAUAUCUUGAUUCACCCGUGAAGUUUAAACAGGAAACACACAAAUUGAGUGAAGAACAAACUACGUGGAUCACAGAGGCUACCGAUCAAGUUUACCGCUUGUUGAAAGAUACCCCUCCGGACGGAGCUUCGUUCGCACAGUCCAUUCGUCACAUUCUUAAGCGCGAGGAGUUAUGGAGCAACUGGAAGAACGAUGGUUGUCCGGAAUUUCGACCGACCAUCGCCCCAAAUACGGAUGACAUCCCCAACGACAGUAGCAAUGGCGAAAAAAAGACCGUCGCAGUAGCCCGACCUAGACGCAUGAAACGAAGCUUAGGCGAUCAGAUUCGAGAAGCUUCCAAGAGACACAAAUGCAUUAUUGGAAAUGCCGAAAUGAAUCGUCUUUGGAAUUUGUGCCCCGAUAACAUGGCCGCCUGUCGUUCCAAAGACCGAGAUUUUUUACCUACUUUAGAGCAUUACUUUGAGGAAGCGAUCGAACAGCUUGAUCCUUCAGUGGAGAGUCAAUACAAGCGAGUUAAUGAGGCGAAUUUUGGGUGGCGUGCAUUACGACUUUUAGCUCGAAGAAGUUUGCACUUUUUCACUCAUGGCAACACUCCAAUUACACGGCUACCAGAUUAUUUGGAAACGCACGUUCGCAAGUUGGCCAAGGACAUUCAGGGCGUGCGUCACAAAAUGCAAGUGUUCUGACAAAGACUAUAGCAACGGAGUUUCGUGCUAAGAAAACUUUUGCGCGCGUAAAAGGUCAAAAAUUAUACGCUUUAAAACGACGACGCUGUUCAGUAAAUGUGUUGCCCAAUGUCAAACCGGAACCAGUGGAUGAUGCUGGUGAAGUGGAGCAAAUGGAACCAGAAGCAGAUCCAGUAUCAAGUACAUCGGAAAUCGAAGGAGGACCAGAC
rnacentral:misc_RNA from 1 species